rnacentral:rRNA from 1 species
GACGAACGCUGGCGGCGUGCCUAAUACAUGCAAGUAGAACGCUGAAGAGAGGAGCUUACUCUUCUUGGAUGAGUUGCGAACGGGUGAGUAACGCGUAGGUAACCUGCCUUGUAGCGGGGGAUAACUAUUGGAAACGAUAGCUAAUACCGCAUAACAAUGGAUGACACAUGUCAUUUAUUUGAAAGGGGCAAUUGCUCCACUACAAGAUGGACCUGCGUUGUAUUAGCUAGUAGGUGAGGUAAUGGCUCAACUAGGCGACGAUACAUAGCCGACCUGAGAGGGUUAUCGGCCAAACUGGGACUGGGACACGGCCCAGGCUCCUACGGGAGGCAGCAAGAGGGAAUCUUCGGCAAUGGGGGCAACCCUGACCGAGCAACGCCGCGUGGGGGAAGAAGGGUUUCGGAUCGGAAAGCUCUGUUGUAAGUCAAGAACGGAUGUGGGAAUGGAAAGUGCACACUGUGACGGUAGCUUACCAGAAAGGGACGGCUAACUACGUG